GAGCCUGCAGAGUUUGUUUGUCACGGAGCUAG
rnacentral:scRNA from 1 species